rnacentral:misc_RNA from 1 species
AGCACGGUCGCCUUCCCCGUGGUGAUUACCACCCCACGCGGAACCGACGUGGUCGAGCUUUCUCCAGAUUUGUCGGCGUUGUGAUCCUAGCCGCUGCGUAUCACAAACUACACCGCUGCCGGCUUCCUCGCCGGAGGUAUCAGUGGCUCGUGGUGUGCGCGUGCACACACCAUUGCAGACGACACGGACGCGCAACGCCAAAAUGAAAUAUAUAUAUAUAUAUAUAUAUGUAUAGUUUUUUUUUUCAGCAGCGUUCAGGGUGACGCGAGCGGUUUCGGCCACGCGCCCUUGAAACCCCCUGCACGUGCACGAUGGGGGGACGAUGAUUUCAUAGUCACCACUUCAGCGCGAUCACUGUCAUUUCUCAGCGUUUUAGCGUGCUCCCUAGUCCACGGCACAAGACUGGGAGCCUGUCUCCACCCAAGCUAUGAACGCAAGCGCGACGACGACGCCGCGCAGAGCGGGGCAGUGGAAGUGCGCUGCCGUCGAAUGAGGACCUCGCCACGCUGGAGGGCACGUCCAGCAUCGCCGCUGAGUAAGGAAUAUUUCGAUAAACGUGAGCGGCCACACUGAGCAGCUUACACCCAAGAUAUCCCUCCGCAAAACCCUGGCAGCGGCAAGCGGCGCCGGCGGCUUUCCAUUCUCUCCUCGCCGCUUUCUCAAGAGGCUUGCGCAGCGCGAUCGCCCCCCUCCCCCUCCCUCCAAGUUACGAUGCGCGUUGUGACACUGUGUUGCGCCUCUUGUCCGCAUCCGUGUAUGCCCGUUUCCAGGCAGCGACUGUGGCGAAGGUGUCUUCGUCGUACACCAUCCUCGCUGCCUCCUUCCUUUUUUUUCUUCUCCCGCAUCCGUACUGUGACGUGAUAAUACGCACGCCCAGGGGCACGCCUGUGCUGAGGUGGUACUGGAAAUGGAUACGCUCAUGACCGCAGAUUGCGGCGACGCUGCGGUACGUCUCUCUCUCACGUUUCUUUUCUUCGAUCUCCCCCUUUACGUGCGUCUUCUAUUUCGGUGAUUGUGACCCUGUAUGCACUCGCUGACGUUUUGUUGCUGUUUAGUGGUGGUGUGUCCUCCGUUGGCGUGUGCCCGCGACCGUGUGUGGCACUCUCCCUCUCCGCAUCUGCCUCCUGCACUGUUCCCACGCCAUGCUACGUUUCUGCGUCACACAGGCUCGCCUCGCGUCGCGUUGUGGGCCUCCGUUGUUUCUUUUUCUUCGUUAGAGGCGUAUGUGUGCCUGUGUCUGUGUCUGUGUAUGCGUGUCUGUGUGCGUCUUCACUGACCCACGCCAUCUCCGACCCCAUAACUGCUCCAUACUCUUCCUCGCUUCUGUUGCCCAUGUAUCCUUCCCGUCCCCUUUCUUGCUGUGCUGUGCGACCUGUUAGCAGCUUCUCUGUUCGCACACGCGUGU